rnacentral:rRNA from 1 species
GACAGAGGGUGCAAGCGUUGUUCGGAAUUACUGGGCGUAAAGGGCGCGUAGGCGGUCCGCUAAGUCGGACGUGAAAUCCCUCGGCUUAACCGGGGAACUGCGUCCGAUACUGGUUGGCUUGAGUUUGGGAGAGGGAUGCGGAAUUCCAGGUGUAGCGGUGAAAUGCGUAGAUAUCUGGAGGAACACCGGUGGCGAAGGCGGCAUCCUGGACCAAUACUGACGCUGAGGAGCGAAAGCCAGGGGAGCAAACGGG